rnacentral:rRNA from 1 species
UACGUAGGGGGGCAAGCGUUGUCCGGAUUUAUUGGGCGUAAAGAGCGUGUAGGCGGCUAGGUAGGUCCGUUGUGAAAACUCGAGGCUCAACCUCGAGACGUCGAUGGAAACCAUCUAGCUAGAGUCCGGAAGAGGAGAGUGGAAUUCCACGUGUAGCAGUGAAAUGCGUAGAGAUGUGGAGGAACACCGAUGGCGAAGGCAGCCCCCCUGGGUCAAGAUUGACGCUCAUGCACGAAAAGCGUGGGGAGCAAACAGG